GUUUUACAAGUGCAAGAUGAAGGCCCUCACUACCUGGUCUCUUGGGUUGCUUCAGCUGGACUGCAAUGUCCUGAUGGAUGGGCCAGCAUGACUCAGUACAAUUCUUGUGCCGAAAUUCAUGGAGCUGGUGGAGUUUGAACUUUUGAUAGUUAUAGCUUCCCUUUAACCUGCUGCUGCAACUGCCACCUAACUGCUUCUACAAAG